CGUGCUUCUGAAAACCAAGCACGAUGCUCCUCAGGGCCCAGAACCCAGGCAUCCCUGCAGGGCCGCCCCAGGCCAGAUGAAAAAACCGAGGCCCAGAGAAAUGUACCCAAAGUCACACAGCAAGCAAGCAAGGAGCCAGAUGCUCACACAAGAAACUGUUGAGUGGCUGUUUGGGAAGAGCCAGUGCUUUUUGCUGUACACCCCGCAUACGCACGUGAAUGAUUCUUACCGCGAUCCAUUGGAGGACUGCUUCCGUCAAUACAGAGGAGAUCAUUUGUCCUACGAGUUCACAUGGAGAUAAUAUCACAGGCCCGGAGCCUCCAAUGGUCAGCAGAAACUUGGAUGUGAGGGGAUUCUCAAACUACGUCUAAGGGGCCCAAUCCAGCCCUUCUCUUGGCUUUCUUCUUUUCCU